UAGUGCGGCAGCAGGAACAAACAAGGCGGAUGACUCUAUCCAGAUCCUGUGAAGCUGAGGUCAUUUCAGGUUCCCUUUUCUGUUCUCAACACUCUGUGACUUUUCAUGGGGCUUGGGAAUGUAGGCAAAAGAUGAAAGGAGUCGGGUCUCAUUUUGAGCCCCAGGAAGUUACAGAAGUAAAUGUAGAUGCCCAGGGGAAGUCUAGGGAGGAGAAUUACCUUCUCCAUCAGCCCCGAAGGCUGGGAGCACAUCUGUGUGCUGGUUUUAAAGUGUACCCACCAGUCCUGGUAUGCUGCUCUUUAAGAGGUGGAGAUUAAUCUCCCUCCUGUGGUGUGGGAGCUGUACUUAGUGAUUCACUUCUAACAAGUAACAGGAGGCAGCAGGGGCAGUGUGUAACUUCCAAGACUGCGUGCCAAAGGGCACUGGAGCUUUCCUUUUUGGGACCCACCUGCUCUGCUCUAAAAGAAGUCACCUGCCAUAUCAGGAGGAUACUCAAGUGACCCCGUUACUAUGGCCUCACGGUUCUGUGCCAUGGAGUCUCUAUCCAGGAAAUACAGGACACUUCCCCUUCGUCUAUGCCCCAGGACAACUGGAAACAUCAGUACCACCGUAUAACACUGAAGGCAAGCAAGAGGAUGGUGUCCAUCUUGGCUCAGCCAUCUCAUUUCAGCUCUUUCUUCCUUUCUCCUGGAGAGUCCGAUCACUGCAGCCCGAGACCCCUGAGCCACAGCCCUGUGUUAUUUCUCCCUGCAAUAACAGAUAUCUAACAAGACAGCAUGUUGUGCUGCUGAGUUGUAUCCUUUUUUGAACAUUUGAUUUUGAAAUAACUUCAGCUUUACAAAAAAGUUGCAAAACCAGUACAAAGAGUUCCCAUAUACCUUACACCCACCUUCCUUGAUUAUGAACAUCUUAUAAAACUAAAAAAUUAGCAUUGGCAUAAUACUACUUUCUAAAUCAUA